GACGAACGCUGGCGGCGUGCUUAACACAUGCAAGUCGAACGAAGUGGCGAACGGGUCAGUAAUACGUGGGUAACCUGCCCUCCUUUUUGGGAUAAGCCUUGGAAACGGGGUCUAAUACCGAAUAAAGGGGGAUGGGCUCGCGGACUAUCCGCUUGUGGGGGGGGUGAUGGCCUACCAAGGCGGUGACGGGUAGCCGGCCUGAGGGGUGGACCGGCCACAGUGGGACGCAGAUACGGCCCAGCCUCCUACGUGCGGGAGCAGUGGGGGAUAUUGCACAAUGGGCGAAAGCCUGAUGCAGCGACGCCGCGUGGGGGAUGAAGGCUUUCGGGUUGUAAACCUCUUUCGCUCUCGAACGGGUAGGUGGAGAAGAAGCGCCGGCUAACUACGUGCCAGCAGCCGCGGUAAUUC
rnacentral:rRNA from 1 species